CGGUAAUACGUGGGGUGCGAGCGUUGUCCGGAUUUAUUGGGCGUAAAGGGCUCGUAGGUGGUUGAUCGCGUCGGAAGUGUAAUCUUGGGGCUUAACCCUGAGCGUGCUUUCGAUACGGGUUGACUUGAGGAAGGUAGGGGAGAAUGGAAUUCCUGGUGGAGCGGUGGAAUGCGCAGAUAUCAGGAGGAACACCAGUGGCGAAGGCGGUUCUCUGGGCCUUUCCUGACGCUGAGGAGCGAAAGCGUGGGGAGCGAACAGGCUUAGAUACCCUGGUAGUCCACGCUGUAAACGGUGGGUACUAGGUGUGGGGUCCAUUCCACGGGUUCCGUGCCGUAGCUAACGCUUUAAGUACCCCGCCUGGGGAGUACGGCCGCAAGGCUAAAACUCAAAGGAAUUGACGGGGCCCCGCACAAGCGGCGGAGCAUGCGGAUUAAUUCGAUGCAACGCGUAGAACCUUACCUGGGUUUGACAUGGAUCGGGAGUGCUCAGAGAUGGGUGUGCCUCUUUUGGGGUCGGUUCACAGGUGAUGCAUGGCUGUCGUCAGCUCGUGUCGUGAGAUGUUGGGUUAAGUCCCGCAACGAGCGCAACCCUUGUUCACUGUUGCCAGCACGUUAUGGUGGGGACUCAGUGGAGACCGCCGGGGUCAACUCGGAGGAAGGUGGGGAUGACGUCAAGUCAUCAUGCCCCUUAUGUCCAGGGCUUCACGCAUGCUACAAUGGCUGGUACAGAGAGUGGCGAGCCUGUGAGGGUGAGCGAAUCUCGGAAAGCCGGUCUCAGUUCGGAUUGGGGUCUGCAACUCGACCUCAUGAAGUCGGAGUCGCUAGUAAUCGCAGAUCAGCAACGCUGCGGUGAAUACGUUCCCGGG
rnacentral:rRNA from 1 species